AGUCUGGUGCCAGCAGCCGCGGUAAUUCCAGCUCCAAUAGCGUAUAUUAAAGUUGUUGUGGUUAAAAAGCUCGUAGUUGGAUCUCAGUUUGAGUCAGGCGGUCCACUUGCCAGUGGCUACUGCCUGACUGAACACUUUACCGAGUUGUCCUAUGGUGUUCUUCACCGAGCGUCAUAGGCGAUCGGUACGUUUACUUUGAAAAAAUUAGAGUGCUCAAAGCAGGCGUAACGCCCGAAUAAUGUUGCAUGGAAUAAUGGAAUAGGACCUCGGUUCUAUUUUGUUGGUCUUCGGAAUCAGAGGUAAUGAUCAAUAGGGACAGACGGGGACAUUCGUAUUGCGGCGCUAGUGGUGAAAUUCUUGGACCGUCGCAAGACGAACUAAAGCGAAAGCAUUUGUCAAGAAUGUUUUCAUUAAUCAAGAACGAAAGUUAGAGGUUCGAAGGCGAUCAGAUACCGCCCUAGUUCUAACCAUAAACGAUGCCAACCAGUAAUUCGUCUGAGUUCCUUAAAUGACUCGACGAGGGACUUCCGGGAAACCAAAGUCUUUCGGUUCCAGGGGAAGUAUGGUUGCAAAGCUGAAACUUAAAGAAAUUGACGGAAGGGCACCACCAGGAGUGGAGCCUGCGGCUUAAUUUGACCCAACACGGGAAAACUCACCCGGCCCGGACACUGGAAGGAUUGACAGAUUGAGAGCUCUUUCUUGAUUCAGUGGGUGGUGGUGCAUGGCCGUUCUUAGUUGGUGGAGUGAUUUGUCUGGUUAAUUCCGAUAACGAACGAGACUCUAGCCUACUAAAUAGAUCGUCGGCUUACAAACGCCGGCGAGACUUCUUAGAGGGACAGGCGGUGAUUCAACCGCACGAAACAGAGCAAUAACAGGUCUGUGAUGCCCUUAGAUGUCCGGGGCCGCACGCGCGCUACACUGAAGUGAUCAGCGUGCUUUUUCAACCUACUCUGUCAAGAGUGGGGAACCCAAUGAACCUUCUUCGUGAUUGGGAUAGGGGAUUGUAAUUAUUCCCCUUGAACGAGGAAUUCCCAGUAAGCGCGAGUCAUAAGCUCGCGUUGAUUACGUCCCUGCCCUUUGUACACACCGCCCGUCGCUACUACCGAUUGAAUGUUUUAGUGAGGUCUUCGGACUGGCCGGCGCAGCACUCUCGUAGUGCAGCGCUGUGUUUGGAAAGAUGCCCAAACUUGAACAUUUAGAGGAAGUAAAAGU
rnacentral:rRNA from 1 species